rnacentral:rRNA from 1 species
UACUCCUACGGGAGGCAGCAGUGAGGAAUAUUGGUCAAUGGAUGAGAAUCUGAACCAGCCAAGUAGCGUGCAGGAAGACGGCCCUAUGGGUUGUAAACUGCUUUUGUACGGGGAUAAAGGAAGCUACGUGUAGCUUUUUGCAGGUACCGUACGAAUAAGGACCGGCUAAUUCCGUGCCAGCAGCCGCGGUAAU